UGGGGAAUCUUCCGCAAUGGACGAAAGUCUGACGGAGCAACGCCGCGUGAACGAUGACGGCCUUCGGGUUGUAAAGUUCUGUUAUACGGGACGAAUGGCGUAGCGGUCAAUACCCGUUACGAGUGACGGUACCGUAAGAGAAAGCCACGGCUAACUACGUGCCAGCAGCCGCGGUAAUACGUAGGUGGCAAGCGUUGUCCGGAAUUAUUGGGCGUAAAGGGAGCGCAGGUGGGAAAGUAAGUCAGUCUUAAAAGUGCGGGGCUCAACCCCGUGAGGGGAUUGAAACUACUUUUCUUGAGUGCAGGAGAGGAAAGCGGAAUUCCUAGUGUAGCGGUGAAAUGCGUAGAUAUUAGGAGGAACACCAGUGGCGAAGGCGGCUUUCUGGACUGUAACUGACACUGAGGCUCGAAAGCCAGGGGAGCGAACGGGAUUAGAUACCCUGGUAGU
rnacentral:rRNA from 1 species